CCCGCCCGCCCCUGGCGAGCUGGGGCGCUGGAGCAGGCGGGGUGUGGGGGAGAAAGUGUCGGGGUUUCGCAUGCCGCACGUCAUUUAUGGACUUGAAAAAUGACAUCCCUGACAAGGAGUUGCGUCUUUUUUGCCUCAGAAAGAGAAACCAGUAACUUCCGGAGGAAACAAAGAAAUAAGAAGUCUUCAAAUACACAACAAAUUUUUAACUUCUCUUCAGAAUUCAUCUACUCCCUCUAGCUGGAAUUGGAAGUGGAAGUGCCAAACUAACUGUGAAGGAAGGCAAAUUGCAGCUGGGGUUUUCCAUUCUUCCCACAGCAUCUUUAACUCCAACUGAAUCAACUCCUGAGUUGUGGAAAACAAAUGUGGAGAAUGUGCCCUUUUUAGCAGACAUUCUCUACUAGCACAAUGUAAGACUAUUUUAACAGAAGUCUCACUGGGCCUGAGCUCUCCUGCUGUUGCAGUUAAGAAUAUUGUUUGCCCAGAACUGCAGAAAUGCAUUUCUUGUUUUCCCUAUUAGAAGUGCACCUUUCAAAUCAAAGUUUAAAAAAGAAAAUGGGAACAGCUAAAGAUUAAAUGAAAAGGCAGAAAAGGGCCUCAAACAAAGGAACAAGCCCAUCCUUUUUUAUUGCUCCACAGCACUGAACCAAUUUAAAAGAUCAGUUUGAAGACAUGAAGUUAAAAAUUAAGUUUUUGCAAACUGUAGGUGGGAUGUGGAUAGCACUCUAAUUGAGCUCAGAGGACACAGGUUUUAUACUUCAUUCUGCAAUAGUCAAACGAAACAAGAAGCUAAACUCUAAAUUCGACCCCACUAACAUGAAGAUUACCCAUCUGCUUCAAGACAGACAUGCUUCCAACACCUUGCCGAGUUUGACUUUGUGGCCACUCAAAACACUGGACCAGUCUACAAAGCCAGUGCCAGCUUGGAUACCUGCAAGUAAAAAAGAAACCAAUUCAGUAGCAAAAAUAAGCUGCUUCUUCCAUCAACAUCUCCUACUGGUUGUAAAAGAGACACACAAAGAUCAGGUUUUUAUGAAGUGGAUAAAUCUUUUGGUUUGACCAAAGGCAGCUAAUCUUGUGGUGUAACACUGGGAAAAGCAGAAGAUGGCUUGCAGAUAUCUCGUCCUUGCAGGCAGCUGUGCCAGCUUUCUUCCGAGCUGCAUCACAGUUCCUUCCAAUUAUGGCAGCUAUUACAAUCCCAGUGAAUAUUUUGGCACCUGGAAGUGCAUCAUUUGUGCUCUGACCACAAAUCCUUUACUUCAGACACAGCUCCAAGGCAGAAGCUACAGACAGCACCGCCAGAGUUCCUAAAUCCUCUCGGCCAGGUAGAGCUGAAUGACAUGAAGACUCCAAGAGCAAAUCUGGUAAUUCCCAGCAAAUGCUAUGAUCUUAAAUUCCUUUUACCUCUGUCCCUUCUGCAGCAAAUGCAAAGGGAAUUUUGCACUAAAAAUGAGUGGAUAACUAAACUGGCUUGACUACACUACAGACAUCCAAAGCAGAAAAGUACUUUCUACAAAUCCAACAGAUUUCUCUAUCAUUAGCACUCCAAAUUGUUUCCAUUCACAAAUGAGCUCGAGCUGUAACAUGACUCUCCUACAGGAAAACCUGGCAUUACCUAACUAAAGUUUGGGUUUAUGUCAAGUUUAUGCCAUAUUUUCACAGUCCUGUUCCUAUGCCAGAAAAAUCUUAAGUGCAGAUUGAGUCCCAGGAGCAGAAUCAUCAGUGGGACACUGUCCUAGAGUGAUUCUCUUCAGAAUUACAAUUGUGCUGAACACCUACAGUAAGAAGAAACUCUUCCUGUAUUCCUUUUCUUGAAUAGGGCAGAUUUGACUCAAACCACUGCAAGUUAUUAUUUUCCAGUCUUGCAAAGAGCUGCAGGAGUUAUCAGUUCAGGUUACUCUUAUCUACACAAUAAAAUCUUCCCCAAACUUGCCUCCUGGUUUCCAGGAAUAAGUUGCAAUGGCCACUACCCUUGCAGAGCACAAUUGCUAUUACAUACAAAUCUAGUUAGAGAAUGUAACAAUAUCUGCACCAUUAAAAGAUCUUAAUCACAUUUACUGUAAGCAUAAAAUAAUUACAUUUUGGUCCAGACCCUACAAAAACAUUUUCCCUGACUCCCACUGAGACCAAAAUAACUUUUGUCCUGCACUUCAGUGGAAAAAAAGUCCAAUAUGAUGUAAAAAAUCCCCCACUAUGCAUACAUUACAAUAAAGUACUGCACAUGGUAGCUUUUAUCCCAGGUUUCAAGGUAGUAAAAUGCUAUUACAACAUGUCUGGCAUUUCACAGAUGAAGGAAUUAGUAUUUUAUUACAUGUAUAAACAUAUUCUUAAAAGCAACUGGGGUGUAAAAUCUCUGGCAGAAAAAAACUUCAAGGUGAUAAAAUGCUUCACCCCAGCAUUUGUGCCAUAAAAGAGGCAUUAAAAAUAAGUUUGAAGGGGUGGCUAAAAACUAUAAAAAGUUAAGCAUGGUUCCAAUAAUUGCCUGGGCCCCUCCCCAUCUCAGUGCUCAAACUGAACAUGGUACCAUUACUGCUGCUGUGUUUGAGCAAACAUGAAUUUGUGAGUCAGCUAACUUGAGAUUCAAAAAAGGAAUUGUUGCAGAAGCAGCUGGGAGAAGCACUCAUAGUGAAUUGCUGCCUCUUACACUGGCUUUGCUGAUGGAGGUCAAGUCUUAAUUCUGCAAUUAAGCAGAUCUCUUCAGACAGGUCCUGAACUGAAACCAAAACACAAAAGCUUGUUUCUCCCACUAGCACAGGACUUCAUGAGUCUGGGUAUGCCUAUUACUUUCUGUCCUCAGUACAGGUAUUCUUUUAUUUUUUUCUUGUUCUUGUUUUCAUAGCAGUAUGACAAAAAAGAACCUAAGCAGCCUACACUGAAAUCAGGGGAUUUGACCUCACAGUUAUUUCUGUAAUAACUGCUACCCUAAAUGUUAGUUGUCUUUUACUGGAGAUUCACUGGAAGCAGGCUUGACCCACUUUGAAUGAUUUAAAUCCAAAAUCAUUCCAGAAGC